GACGAACGCUGGCGGCGUGCUUAACACAUGCAAGUCGAACGGAAAGGCCCUGCUUUUGUGGGGUGCUCGAGUGGCGAACGGGUGAGUAACACGUGAGUAACCUGCCCUUGACUUUGGGAUAACUUCAGGAAACUGGGGCUAAUACCGGAUAGGAGCUCCUGCUGCAUGGUGGGGGUUGGAAAGUUUCGGCGGUUGGGGAUGGACUCGCGGCUUAUCAGCUUGUUGGUGGGGUAGUGGCUUACCAAGGCUUUGACGGGUAGCCGGCCUGAGAGGGUGACCGGCCACAUUGGGAAUGAGAUACGGCCCAGACUCCUACGGGAGGCAGCAGUGGGGAAUAUUGCACAAUGGGCGGAAGCCUGAUGCAGCAACGCCGAGUGCGGGAUGACGGCCUUCGGGUUGUAAACCGCUUUCGCCUGUGACGAAGCGUGAGUGACGGUAAUGGGUAAAGAAGCACCGGCUAACUACGUG
rnacentral:rRNA from 1 species